CUACUAACUCAGUGCAGGGUUUAGCUUUGGAUUCUCUCAGCGCACGUUAGCCUUAAUGUGCACGCACCAUGGGUAGGAGACCCAAAGCAACCUUUAAGACCGGUAUUCAUGAUCAGAAAGCUGUAGGAAAACUGAUUCCGCCUAUAGCAACAGGUGGGAAGGCUGAGCAUACGCUGGUCAAGGCAGAUGUCACUGGAACAGCAACACAAACAGGGGUUUAAGUCAACUGUUGAAGCUGCUAAUUCAGCAGUAGGAGCUGUACUUUCAAUAAUCAGUGGCCAAAGUACUCCGAUACCAACUCCGGUGAAGUCUAAAGGGUUAACAGGGAAGGCAAUUGAAGAAGUAUGGAGAAAGGUGUUUCAGUCACCGGCAAAUACGAGUGUUACUUCCUUCGGAUGAGGUUGAAUUGGAGGAGAAAUCUAAUGGUAAGUCACCUUUUAUGCAUGGAGUUAGAGGUAGUAAUAGUAAUGUAUGGGAUAAUUUUGAUAUUUCGAAAUUAACCAAUGCUGGUUUCAAAUUGGAGUUCAUCGAGCCUGAGGAAAGAGGAGAGAAACAUGCUUGUGGAUUGAGACUGGGCAUUAACUCUGAAAUUGAAUACUGGAGAAACUCAG
rnacentral:lncRNA from 1 species